GGAGAGAUGUCCGAGUUGGUUUAAGGUGCAGGUCUCGAAAACCUGUGUCGGUUCAUCCCGACCGUGGGUUCGAAUCCCACUCUCUCCGCCA
rnacentral:tRNA from 1 species